UACGUAGGGUCCGAGCGUUGUCCGGAAUUAUUGGGCGUAAAGGGCUCGUAGGCGGUCUGUUGCGUCGGGAGUGAAAACUUACAGCUUAACUGUGAGCGUGCUUUCGAUACGGGCAGACUUGAGGCAUUCAGGGGAGAACGGAAUUCCUGGUGUGAGCGGUGAAAUGCGCAGAUAUCAGGAGGAACACCGGUGGCGAAGGCGGUUCUCUGGGAAUGUCCUGACGCUGAGGAGCGAAAGUGUGGGGAGCGAACAGG
rnacentral:rRNA from 1 species